rnacentral:rRNA from 1 species
GUGAGGAAUAUUGGUCAAUGGGCGCAAGCCUGAACCAGCCAUGCCGCGUGCAGGAAGACGGUCCUAUGGAUUGUAAACUGCUUUUAUUUGGGAAUAAACCUCCUUACGUGUAGGGAGCUGAAGGUACCAAAUGAAUAAGCACCGGCUAACUCCGUGCCAGCAGCCGCGGUAAUACGGAGGGUGCAAGCGUUAUCCGGAAUCAUUGGGUUUAAAGGGUCCGCAGGCGGUCAUAUAAGUCAGUGGUGAAAGCCUACAGCUAAACUGUAGAACUGCCAUUGAUACUGUAUGACUUGAAUUCGAUCGAAGUGGGCGGAAUGUGACAUGUAGCGGUGAAAUGCUUAGAUAUGUCACAGAACACCGAUAGCGAAGGUAGCUCACUAGGUCUGGAUUGACGCUCAGGGACGAAAGCGUGGGGAGCAAACAGGAUUAGAUACCCUAGUAGUCC